AGAGUUUGAUCCUGGCUCAGAUUGAACGCUGGCGGCACGCCUAACACAUGCAAGUCGAACGGCAGCAGUAGAGAGCUUGCUUUCUAGCUGGCGAGUGGCGGACGGGUGAGUAACACGUAGGAAUAUGUCCUGAAGAGGGGGAUAACCCGAGGAAACUCGGGCUAAUACCGCAUAAUUUCUGAGGAAAGAAGGGGGCUUCGGCUUUCGCUUUAGGAGUAGCCUACGUUGGAUUAGCUAGUUGGUAAGGUAAAAGCUUACCAAGGCGAUGAUCCAUAGCUGGUCUGAGAGGACGACCAGCCACACUGGGACUGAGACACGGCCCAGACUCUUACGGGAGGCAGCAGUGGGGAAUCUUGGACAAUGGGGGAAACCCUGAUCCAGCGAUGCCGCGUGUGUGAAGAAGGCCUGAGGGUUGUAAAGCACUUUCAGUGGGGAGGAAGAGCUUGUGCAGAUAAAGCACAAGUUGAGACGUUACCCACAGAAGAAGCACCGGCUAACUCUGUGCCAGCAGCCGCGGUAAUACAGAGGGUGCGAGCGUUAAUCGGAAUGACUGGGCGUAAAGAGCACGUAGGCGGUAAGAGAAGUUGGAUGUGAAAUGUCUGGGCUUAACCUAGAGAGGUCAUCCAAAACUGACUAACUAGAGUUUGGUAGAGGUAAGCGGAAUUUCCGGAGCAGCGGUGAAAUGCGUAGAUAUCGGAAGGAACAUCAGUGGCGAAGGCGGCUUUCUGGUCUAUUUCUGACGCUGAGGAGCGAAAGCUAGGGGAGCAAACGGGAUUAGAUACCCCGGUAGUCCUAGCUGUAAACGAUGGAUACUAGGUGUGGGAGGUAUCGACCCCUUCUGUGCCGCAGCUAACGCAUUAAGUAUCCCGCCUGGGGAGUACGGUCGCAAGGCUGAAACUCAAAGGAAUUGACGGGGGCCCGCACAAGCGGUGGAGCAUGUGGUUUAAUUCGACGCAACGCGAAGAACCUUACCGGGACUUGACAUUGUCUUGCCCGUCUAAGAAAUUAGAUUUUCUUCCUUUUGGAAGACGAGAUAACAGGUGGUGCAUGGUUGUCGUCAGCUCGUGUCGUGAGAUGUUGGGUUAAGUCCCACAACGAGCGCAACCCUUGUCUUUAGUUGCCACUAUUAAGUUAGGCACUCUAAAGAUACUGCCCCGGUUAACGGGGAGGAAGGUGGGGAUGACGUCAAGUCCUCAUGGCCUUUAUACCCAGGGCUACACACGUGCUACAAUGGGUUGUACAAAGGGCUGCGACUCUGCAAGGAGAAGCUAAUCCCAAAAAGUAGUCCCAAGUUCGGAUUGGAGUCUGCAACUCGACUCCAUGAAGCUGGAAUCGCUAGUAAUCGUGGAUCAGCAUGCCACGGUGAAUACGUUCCCGGGCCUUGUACACACCGCCCGUCACACCACGAAAGUUGGUUGUACCAGAAGUUGCUGGGCUAACCUCUGAUUUAUCGGAGGAGGCAGGCACCUAAGGUAUGGCUGGUGAUUGGGGUGAAGUCGUAACAAGGUAACC
rnacentral:rRNA from 1 species